AGUGAACGCUGGCGGCAGGCCUAACACAUGCAAGUCGAACGGCAGAACAGUGCUUGCUUGUGGUUUCAGCGGGGGACGGGCGGGCGGUUCCUGAGAAUAUCCCUAUCUAUUUUUUCUUACGGCCUAACGUAGGCGCUAUUACGCCAUUCGCGCAGACGACGUACGGGUGGGAGCAUCGGACCUUAGGCUCUCACGUGAGUCUAUGUGGGAUUAGCUAGUUGGUGGGUUAAAGGCGUACCAAGGCGACGAUCCGUAGCUGGUCUGAGAGGAUGAUCAGUCACACUGGAACUGAGACACGGUCCAGACUCCUACGGGAGGCAGCAGUGGGGAAUAUUGGACAAAGGGCGCAAGCCUGAUCCAGCCAUGCCGCGUGGGUGAAGAAGGUCUUCGGAUUGUAAAGCCCUUUUGUUUGGGAAGAAAAGCAGUAGGUUAAUACCUCGCUGUUUUGACGUUACCAAAAGAAUAAGCACCGGCUAACUUCGUG
rnacentral:rRNA from 1 species